AACGCACCUUGCGCCCCUUGGUAUUCCGAGGGGCACACCCGUUUGAGCGUCGUGAAACUCUCAACCUCCUUUGUUUCUUCUGGGGACCAAAGGAGGCUUGGACUUUGGAGGUUUUUGCUGGUGUCUUUGAAGGCCAGCUCCUCUUAAAUGAAUUAGCGGGGUCCUCUUUGCUGAUCCCUUGACACGUGAUAAGAUGCUUCCGUGUCUGGGUUUCUGGCUCUGUUGCCUUUGGGACCUGCUUCUAGCCGUCUUGACAUCGCGUCAAGACAAUGUUCGAGCUCGUCUCCCUUCUCGGGAAACCCUCUCGACCCCACGAACCCUUGGCCUCAAAUCGGGUGAGACUACCCGCUGAACUUAA
rnacentral:rRNA from 1 species